rnacentral:lncRNA from 1 species
AAAAUAAGAGUGAAGCACGUACUUACUUCUCCAACGAAAGAAAACAAACAAUUAAGGUAACUAUCAUCCAUCCACUUAAGCAAAAUAAUCGAUCCAGUUCUCAACGUUCUCAGCGUUUUUAUGUUUGCCACCACGAGAUUGGUGAUGAUGAUACAAAUAAUUAUAGUGUUGAUAAGGAGAGUAAGGAGGCGCAUACAUCAUCUGGUGAGGCAUCAUGGUUGGUUUUGAAAUGAAAUGAAAAUAGAGGUGAAAGAGAAAUCAGUGAGAUUAAAAUUCAUGGAUUUGGAAAAAUGAUUUUGAGAUUCGAAAUAAAAGAGAGAAGAAGUCUUUUGUUUAUUUAAAAUAAAGAAAGUAUUGAGAAGAGAAGAGAAAGAACCAUGGUUAGUUUUCUCUGGUUAGUCUUUGUGUAGUCUUGUCAAAUAUGAGAGCAUGAAAGACUUUACACAACCAUAAUGUGUGUGGCAAGCAGGAAGUGUCUUAUUGAGUAAUACAAAAGACAUAAAGUGUCAUAGAGAAAAAAAAAUUCCACAUAUAACGCUGCCGGACUGAUAUAUAAAAGAAAAUUCAUUUGUCGAUAGAGCAACCUCAAUGGUUUGAUACCAUGAAAAUAUCUAAAAAAAUAAUAAUAAUAGUAUUAUAAUUUCAGAUUUUUGUUUUGAUUUUUCUAUAAUAUAUGAAAUGUUAGUUAA